GAUGGUAGUUCAGCUCCACAUACCAUGGCUCAAAAUAUUUUGAUUUUGGGUACUAAGGUACUUCACUAGUACACAACUCAUUUGAUGGUGCCAUGGGUUGUUUUUUUUACGAUGCGGUGCCAUAAACAACCGCUUAUAUGUAAUUUCCACCAAAUUAAAAUUGUUGAGCAUCAUUUUGGCAAGACCCGCACCUUUAAUAAUUAAAAUAACUAUUUAGUCUGU
rnacentral:lncRNA from 1 species